UCCUUGGGUUUUGGACAAUGUGACUUGGUGUGCCCAAGUUUUUCACAAUUUUGGCAUGAAGGACAUGGUUCUUCCUUCUUCAGUUCCUUCUUCAUAAACUUAUAAAACUUUUCAAUUAAAUCGUUGGAAAUAGUAUCAUCAUCGCUUUCAGAAUCACUUACCUCUACUCUUUUAGACGAUGAGGCUUUGAAGGCAAUACCUGGACUUUUCUUAUUU
rnacentral:lncRNA from 1 species